CGAAUCCAACAGAGAAUCAGUACUCUGACUGGUCCAUCAUCACCACCUUCUUCCUCAGCUGGUGCUGGAUUUAGUAAUGAGACAUAUGAACCAGACCUCACACAGGAUCAUGUGAGAGUUCCCCCAGUGCAAAACCAUCCGAUGGAAGCUGGUUUCAAUGAUGUCUCUGUCCCUGAUGGUGUCAGAGAGACGGAGGUGGCGUGAGGAAGGAGGAGCGAUGGUCCUGCCACCAAGAGGUGGCUUUGUGAAAUUAAGGCGAUAUCACAGCAGCAGAACUGCUUGUGUCGUCUUUACAUGUAACACACACACAUACACACACACAAAACAUACACAUUGCAUACACUAAACACAAGCACAACGCACACACUUGAAACGCUGAUUA